CUGAUCACAAGAGUUCUAUUUUUUCUGGACGCCGGAGCAUGGCGGAUAAAUUCAGCACAGAUUAACCCGUGCUGGAAAGGAAGUCGGGCACAGACACAAAAUAAAACAUCCUGCUUCUUUUCAAAAUAAAACACUGUGUUUCAGGAGGAUCGUAUUUCACACCAUGCAAACGGGCGGAGACGAACAAGUGAAAGGUUUUUAGACGUCAUUUCACCCCGAUGACACCAUGGAUGAGGAGAUGCUGAUUCUAGAAGUCUAGAAGUAGAUUUCCUCCUCUGGAAGAACACGAUCUACUGCUUAU
rnacentral:lncRNA from 1 species